rnacentral:rRNA from 1 species
CAGCUCUCCGAGUGGUAGGGAUGAUUAUUGGGCUUAAAGCGUCCGUAGCCUGCUUAGCAAGUCUCCUGUUAAAUUCAGCGACCUAAUCGUUGAGCCGCGGGAGAUACUACUAGGCUAGGAGGCGGGAGAGGUCGACGGUACUUCUGGGGUAGGGGUGAAAUCCUAUAAUCCCAGGAGGACCACCAGUGGCGAAGGCUGUCGACUAGAACGCGCCCGACGGUGAGGGAUGAAAGCUGGGGGAGCGAACCGGAUUAGAUACCCGAGUAGUCC